AGCUUGGACGAGGAUGUGCAA
rnacentral:miRNA from 1 species